AUUUUCUUUAUUUUUGUAUUGCUAAGUUAUAACUAGAUUUUACUAUUGUGAGACUUUUUUAUUUAUUUCAGAAACUUAUGGCGAAGCACGAUUACAUUUAAAAAAAGCGGAAGAAACCUGAAAUUUGGACUCAGACGAAGCAGAAAAUGAUGUUACAAAUGAAGUGACAGUGGACAUAAUGUCUGCUGUAAAUUACCCAGUCACCUCCGGUUCUAAAGAGGCCAAGCAAACACAACUCAAAGCUGUUAACUGCCAAUCAGAGUGCAUUACAAACAAGCAAUAUGCUAUACAGCAGAGUCAUAUGAUUCAGAUUGUGUCAGACCUAGCUAACCAAAUGGCUGAAAUCAAUAGAAAAUUGGAUUUACCGUUAGCUAGGUCCGAAGAAACAUUUUCACCAACAGAUGACAAUGCAGGUCUUUCAGAACUUUUGGCAAGUCUACCAGUAAAGAUAUUGCAAGUUUUAAUAAUUUCGAUGACCAUUUAAAAAUAAACAAGAAUACAGGCAAUAAUGUCAUUUUUGUCUGGUAUUGGCGGCAGAAAUGUAAGAAGCCUUACGACUAAUAUGUUGAGACGAAUAAUUCUAGAUGAUGUAGCCGAGUUGUAUUCGUUAACUGGGAAACAGAUGAAAAAUUCGAAUAAAAAGUCAUUUAUGAGUACAGAAACCUAUAAAUUAAUCUUUCAAAUAUGUAGAAAAAUCAACGAAGAUGUAACUGAAGACAGUCUAAAAGAAAUUAUAAGUGAUUGGCUAAAUCAAGCUAAAGUUAGACUUUCAAGAAGAGCAGAAACACAAAAUAAAGAAAAAACCAAUAGCGGCGACCAUGAAACCGAUUUUUUCUCAUUUAAAGUAAGAUAAGAUAAAAGUAUAAAUAAUAAAAAAAUAUAUGUUA